ACGAGCUCAAUGGCUUCCCAUACUUGUUAGUUUCAUACUAGCUAUUUAAUGCCUUUGAUAUUAUUCUAAGUGUUAAAAGUUGAGUAGAUGUGUCGUUAGUGUCUGAACUACACAUUUAAGAGGGGGUGCGGAUAAGGAGAAGAGAUAAGAUGCUCGUCUUCUGUCCUGGUCCAGAUGUUUCAUAGGCUAGAUGUGAGCCUGAAAUCGAAACAGAAACAGUCUGUUGUGAACUCUGUCAACUCAGUCUUGCUGACUCACAAAAACAAGGACCAAACUGUAAAGAACGAAACUGACGAUCAAAAUGUUCACAUCAAGUGAAAUUGAUAUUUCUGUAUCAUUCAGUGUGAUCUCCCCUUGUUCUCAUGGUAUUGCUUUCGCUGUGACUGUCUGGACCAUCAGGCCUGAUGUGCGCACAUCUGUUUAUAUGUCCGUUUCUCCCACACACACCGGCCCAGUGACUGCACGGCACUUACCUGAACCCAGUGUUACUGCCUGAGAUGACUAUACUUCCCUUAAUGCACUCCAGCCCUCUUAGUAACACUACAUAGGGUCAUGGGCUUUGUACACAGCCCUUAUAUACUCUGUAAUAUGUUCAUUAGAAAUUAGGAAAUGUGUGUUUUUACUAUUAUGCCUCAAUAAUUGUUGUGAAACCUGUUUGAAUUGUAUUUGCACAUUUAAAUUGUUCUGUUUACAUACAAGAACAAACUCUCGGUUGGCUAAUAAAUAAGAAAAAUAAAGGAAA